AUUGCCUCAGUAACGGCGAGUGAAGCGGCAAGAGCUCAAAUUUGAAAGCUGGCUCCUUCGGGGUCCGCGUUGUAAUUUGCAGAGGAUGCUUCGGGAGCGGCCCCCAUCUAAGUGCCCUGGAACGGGCCGUCAUAGAGGGUGAGAAUCCCGUAUGGGAUGGGGUGCCCGCGACCAUGUGAAGCUCCUUCGACGAGUCGAGUUGUUUGGGAAUGCAGCUCUAAAUGGGUGGUAAAUUUCAUCUAAAGCUAAAUAUUGGCCGGAGACCGAUAGCGCACAAGUAGAGUGAUCGAAAGAUGAAAAGCACUUUGAAAAGAGAGUUAAAAAGCACGUGAAAUUGUUGAAAGGGAAGCGCUUGCGACUAGACUCGCCCACGGGGUAACAGCCGCUAUUCGUAUCGGUGCACUUCCCCGUGGCCGGGCCAGCGUCGGUUUGGGCGGCCGGUCAAAGGCCCUCGGAAUGUAACGCCUCUCGGGGCGUCUUAUAGCCGAGGGUGCCAUGCGGCCAGCCCAGACCGAGGAUCGCGCUUCGGCACGGACGCUGGCUUAAUGGUCGUAAGCGACCCGUCUUGAAACACGGACCAAGGAGUCUAACAUCUACGCGAGUGUUCGGGUGUCAAACCCGUGCGCGCAGUGAAAGCGAACGGAGGUGGGAACCCUUUGGGUGCACCAUCGACCGAUCCUGAUGUCUUCGGAUGGAUUUGAGUAAGAGCGUAGCUGUUGGGACCCGAAAGAUGGUGAACUAUGCCUGAAUAGGGCGAAGCCAGAGGAAACUCUGGUGGAGGCUCGCAGCGGUUCUGACGUGCAAAUCGAUCGUCAAAUUUGGGUAUAGGGGCGAAAGACUAAUCGAACCAUCUAGUAGCUGGUUCCUGCCGAA
rnacentral:rRNA from 1 species